rnacentral:rRNA from 4 species
UUAAGCGACUAAGCGUACACGGUGGAUGCCCUGGCAGUCAGAGGCGAUGAAGGACGUGCUAAUCUGCGAUAAGCGUCGGUAAGGUGAUAUGAACCGUUAUAACCGGCGAUUUCCGAAUGGGGAAACCCAGUGUGUUUCGACACACUAUCAUUAACUGAAUCCAUAGGUUAAUGAGGCGAACCGGGGGAACUGAAACAUCUAAGUACCCCGAGGAAAAGAAAUCAACCGAGAUUCCCCCAGUAGCGGCGAGCGAACGGGGAGGAGCCCAGAGCCUGAAUCAGUGUGUGUGUUAGUGGAAGCGUCUGGAAAGGCGCGCGAUACAGGGUGACAGCCCCGUACACAAAAAUGCACAUGCUGUGAGCUCGAUGAGUAGGGCGGGACACGUGGUAUCCUGUCUGAAUAUGGGGGGACCAUCCUCCAAGGCUAAAUACUCCUGACUGACCGAUAGUGAACCAGUACCGUGAGGGAAAGGCGAAAAGAACCCCGGCGAGGGGAGUGAAAAAGAACCUGAAACCGUGUACGUACAAGCAGUGGGAGCCUCUUAAUGGGGUGACUGCGUACCUUUUGUAUAAUGGGUCAGCGACUUAUAUUCUGUAGCAAGGUUAACCGAAUAGGGGAGCCGAAGGGAAACCGAGUCUUAACUGGGCGUUAAGUUGCAGGGUAUAGACCCGAAACCCGGUGAUCUAGCCAUGGGCAGGUUGAAGGUUGGGUAACACUAACUGGAGGACCGAACCGACUAAUGUUGAAAAAUUAGCGGAUGACUUGUGGCUGGGGGUGAAAGGCCAAUCAAACCGGGAGAUAGCUGGUUCUCCCCGAAAGCUAUUUAGGUAGCGCCUCGUGAAUUCAUCUCCGGGGGUAGAGCACUGUUUCGGCAAGGGGGUCAUCCCGACUUACCAACCCGAUGCAAACUGCGAAUACCGGAGAAUGUUAUCACGGGAGACACACGGCGGGUGCUAACGUCCGUCGUGAAGAGGGAAACAACCCAGACCGCCAGCUAAGGUCCCAAAGUCAUGGUUAAGUGGGAAACGAUGUGGGAAGGCCCAGACAGCCAGGAUGUUGGCUUAGAAGCAGCCAUCAUUUAAAGAAAGCGUAAUAGCUCACUGGUCGAGUCGGCCUGCGCGGAAGAUGUAACGGGGCUAAACCAUGCACCGAAGCUGCGGCAGCGACACUAUGUGUUGUUGGGUAGGGGAGCGUUCUGUAAGCCUGUGAAGGUGGCCUGUGAGGGUUGCUGGAGGUAUCAGAAGUGCGAAUGCUGACAUAAGUAACGAUAAAGCGGGUGAAAAGCCCGCUCGCCGGAAGACCAAGGGUUCCUGUCCAACGUUAAUCGGGGCAGGGUGAGUCGACCCCUAAGGCGAGGCCGAAAGGCGUAGUCGAUGGGAAACAGGUUAAUAUUCCUGUACUUGGUGUUACUGCGAAGGGGGGACGGAGAAGGCUAUGUUGGCCGGGCGACGGUUGUCCCGGUUUAAGCGUGUAGGCUGGUUUUCCAGGCAAAUCCGGAAAACCAAGGCUGAGGCGUGAUGACGAGGCACUACGGUGCUGAAGUGACAAAUGCCCUGCUUCCAGGAAAAGCCUCUAAGCAUCAGGUAACAUCAAAUCGUACCCCAAACCGACACAGGUGGUCAGGUAGAGAAUACCAAGGCGCUUGAGAGAACUCGGGUGAAGGAACUAGGCAAAAUGGUGCCGUAACUUCGGGAGAAGGCACGCUGAUAUGUAGGUGAAGCGACUUGCUCGUGGAGCUGAAAUCAGUCGAAGAUACCAGCUGGCUGCAACUGUUUAUUAAAAACACAGCACUGUGCAAACACGAAAGUGGACGUAUACGGUGUGACGCCUGCCCGGUGCCGGAAGGUUAAUUGAUGGGGUUAGCGGUAACGCGAAGCUCUUGAUCGAAGCCCCGGUAAACGGCGGCCGUAACUAUAACGGUCCUAAGGUAGCGAAAUUCCUUGUCGGGUAAGUUCCGACCUGCACGAAUGGCGUAAUGAUGGCCAGGCUGUCUCCACCCGAGACUCAGUGAAAUUGAACUCGCUGUGAAGAUGCAGUGUACCCGCGGCAAGACGGAAAGACCCCGUGAACCUUUACUAUAGCUUGACACUGAACAUUGAGCCUUGAUGUGUAGGAUAGGUGGGAGGCUUUGAAGUGUGGACGCCAGUCUGCAUGGAGCCGACCUUGAAAUACCACCCUUUAAUGUUUGAUGUUCUAACGUUGGCCCCUAAUCGGGGUUGCGGACAGUGUCUGGUGGGUAGUUUGACUGGGGCGGUCUCCUCCUAAAGAGUAACGGAGGAGCACGAAGGUUGGCUAAUCCUGGUCGGACAUCAGGAGGUUAGUGCAAUGGCAUAAGCCAGCUUGACUGCGAGCGUGACGGCGCGAGCAGGUGCGAAAGCAGGUCAUAGUGAUCCGGUGGUUCUGAAUGGAAGGGCCAUCGCUCAACGGAUAAAAGGUACUCCGGGGAUAACAGGCUGAUACCGCCCAAGAGUUCAUAUCGACGGCGGUGUUUGGCACCUCGAUGUCGGCUCAUCACAUCCUGGGGCUGAAGUAGGUCCCAAGGGUAUGGCUGUUCGCCAUUUAAAGUGGUACGCGAGCUGGGUUUAGAACGUCGUGAGACAGUUCGGUCCCUAUCUGCCGUGGGCGCUGGAGAACUGAGGGGGGCUGCUCCUAGUACGAGAGGACCGGAGUGGACGCAUCACUGGUGUUCGGGUUGUCAUGCCAAUGGCACUGCCCGGUAGCUAAAUGCGGAAGAGAUAAGUGCUGAAAGCAUCUAAGCACGAAACUUGCCCCGAGAUGAGUUCUCCCUGAGACUUAGAGUCUCCUGAAGGAACGUUGAAGACGACGACGUUGAUAGGCCGGGUGUGUAAGCGCAGCGAUGCGUUGAGCUAACCGGUACUAAUGAACCGUGAGGCUUAACCUU